UUUGUCUGGGGCACAAGUUUGAGCAUAGGGCCUUUAAAAGCUUCCCAUGUGACUCCCAUGUGCCGUCAAGGUCCUGAAUCAUAGCUUCACAUUCAGAAGGGCCCACGUCCGCAUUUCUGCAGCAUGAAGGUGAUGUUACCUUGUAAAAACUAUCUCUAGUCUCAUGUUCAAUAGCCUUUGAAAAUUAUUUUGGAAAAGGGCUUAAGUAUUUAUUCUUGGUAAGACAGAAGCCAUGCAAUGGAAGUUAUUAUGAGCUAACCAAUGUGCUUGGCAUGGAUUUUAUGUCUAUAGAUGUCAAAUUUACAUGUCUGUAAGGUACAACUUGGAAUUACUUCAGUGUAGACUAUGACCCAAGAUGUCUGUGCAUGAGCCCAAGGAGCAUGCAGAGUGAUACAAGUUUGUGUCAUAGGGUCACUCUUGGAGAAAAAUGGUCUUAAAAGAAUUCUGCAGUGCAGGUGGUAUUUAUGUCAGGACGUUUCUCUUGCUGUGAGAAAACACCAUGACAUGACCAAAAGCAAGUUUAAGAAUGAAGAAUGAUUCUGGCUUCCAGUUCCAGAGGAGGAGCCCAUCAUGGUGAGGAAGGCAGUCACAACAGGAAGCUGAACUGAUCCCAUUGUAUUACACUGGAAGCUGGCAGGGUGAACUGGAAGUAACUGAGGCUGUGUAAACUCUUAAGGCCCCCUUCCCUCCCAUGAUACACUUCCUCAGCAAGCCUCCGUGCCCUGAGAGUUCCACAACCUUCUCCAAUGAUGCCACCAGCUGGGGACCAGGUGUUCACACGCCUGAGCCUAUGGGGCCAUUUUUCAUGCUAACCAUCAGAAUUUUCUCACUGGCAGAUAAGAGAAUGUAGAAUUCAGAGAACUUAAGAAAUUGCCUCAGGUCACACUGGUCUCUAGGGCUAAACCUUUGCUCUCUUCCUUCUUGGACCUACACAUAGUAUAUCUCCAGAAAUCUCUGGAACUUGGGGAAGGCUUCCAGAAUUGGGAAAAUGCAUUAUCAAUUUGUCUACCAGCAUUCUUACUUAAUUUGGGGUAACCUUCUCACCUCUUCAAAUGCGACCUUUAACCUCUUGUCUAAGUCUACCUGUGUCUGUACCGGAAGGUGGCUGUACUUGGUACAUGGUCCUGGGGUGUCUCAUUGCUUAGAUUUAUAGCUGGAAGCAAGUGUUCCCUUUGGACCUGCAUCAGUACAUUUUGAUGGAGUCAUUGGAUGUCCAGGGAGGGAAUACCAACUCAGACGAACAAAGGAGUUUACUGAUGUAUGUCACAUAGAGUUGUUCCCAUUGAUAACUCAAAAAUUAGGUUCCAUACAUAUAUCUCUGUCAUUGGAUCAGUAUUCUCAGUUUAUUUUGUAAGAUGCAUUAAUUUGGGGGGUAUAGAGCAGCUGUAUGUUUCUUAAACAACUUAUUUCUUAUUAGACACUGAGCUUUCAUUUCUCCUUUUUUAUUAAAAAUGGAUUCUUUCCUUUAAUACAAUCUGAAUGGUUUCCCCUCCCUCUACUGCUCCCAGUUUCUCUCCACCUUUCCUCCCAUCCAGUUCCACCCCCUUUCUGUCUCUCAUUAGAAAAGAACAGGCUUUUAGGAUAUAGCAGCCACACAUAACAAACUAAAAUAUAAGAUAAAAUGAAAACCAUCCCAAUGAAGUUGGGCAAGACAAGCC
rnacentral:lncRNA from 1 species